GGUAGCCAUCAUACCAGCACUAAUGCACCGUAUCCCAUCAGAACUCCGCAGUUAAGCGUGCUUGGGCGAGAGUAGUACUAGGAUGGGUGACCCCCUGGGAAGUCCUCGUGUUGCAACCC
rnacentral:rRNA from 1 species